UAAGCGGAGGAAAAGAAACUAACAAGGAUUCCCCUAGUAACUGCGAGUGAAGCGGGAAAAGCUCAAAUUUAAAAUCUGGUGGUCUUUGGCCAUCCGAGUUGUAAUUUAGAGAAGCGUCUUCCGCGCUGGACCGUGCACAAGUCUCCUGGAAUGGAGCGUCAUAGAGGGUGAGAAUCCCGUCUUUGGCAUGGACACACCAGGGCUUUUGUGAUGCGCUCUCGAAGAGUCGAGUUGUUUGGGAAUGCAGCUCAAAAUGGGUGGUGAACUCCAUCUAAAGCUAAAUAUUGGCGAGAGACCGAUAGCGAACAAGUACCGUGAGGGAAAGAUGAAAAGCACUUUGGAAAGAGAGUGAAACAGUACGUGAAAUUGUUGAAAGGGAAACGCUUGAAGUCAGUCACGUCGACCGAGACUCAGCCUUGCCUCGGCUUGGUGUACUUCUCGGCUGACGGGUCAGUAUCAAUUUUGCCCCUUGGAUAAUGGCGAGGGAAAUGUGACACCUUUAUGGUGUGUUAUAGUCUCUCGUCGCAUGCAAGGGUUGGGAUUGAGGAACUCAGCACGCGCCUUUUGGUGUCGGGGCUUUGCCCACGAUACGUGCUUAGGAUGUUGGCAUAAUGGCUUUAAACGACC
rnacentral:rRNA from 1 species